rnacentral:rRNA from 1 species
AUUGAACGCUGGCGGCAGGCCUAACACAUGCAAGUCGAGCGGAUGAGGGGUGCUUGCACCCCGAUUCAGCGGCGGACGGGUGAGUAAUGCCUAGGAAUCUGCCCGAUAGUGGGGGACAACGUUUCGAAAGGAACGCUAAUACCGCAUACGUCCUACGGGAGAAAGUGGGGGCUCUUCGGACCUCACGCUAUCGGAUGAGCCUGGGUCGGAUUAGCUAGUUGGUGGGGUAACGGCUCACCAAGGCGACGAUCCGUAGCUGGUCUGAGAGGAUGAUCAGCCACACUGGAACUGAGACACGGUCCAGACUCCUACGGGAGGCAGCAGUGGGGAAUAUUGGACAAUGGGCGAAAGCCUGAUCCAGCCAUGCCGCGUGUGUGAAGAAGGUCUUCGGAUUGUAAAGCACUUCAAGUUGGGAGGAAGGGUUGUAAGCUAAUAUCUUGCAGCUUUGACGUUACCAACAGAAUAAGCACCGGCUAACUCUGUGCCAGCCGCCGCAGUAA